rnacentral:ncRNA from 2 species
UUAGCCGCACAUAGGCUCGGACUAGCUUCUGGAAAUGAGAGCAAAGAAGCCGGUGCAAAUCCGGCACGGUCGCGCCCCUGUAAUCGGCUGCCCCGCAGCUGAAAGUCAGACCUUCCCUCAUUCGAACGAGCAC